GAAAGAAAGAAAGAAAGAAGGAGAUAUAGAUAGAGCUGCUCAUGUAAAGGAAAUAUUAUUUUUUACUAAUUAUAUUACAUAAUCUAUAUUUAUAUGUAGUAAUUAAUAAGAUAAUAAAACAAUUAACAGUCUCAUGGUUUAUGCUUCUGCGUGUAGAUGUAAUCUAUAUGAGCAGCAAGUGUCCUUCUCAUCAAGCACUGUUCUUCUCCAGCUCCUUCACAGCUUUCUUCUACCACCUCUGCCUCAUCAACAUCCUAUAUACAUAUAUAAGCCAAGAAAAAUAAUUAAAGAAACCCAAAUAUCAAAACCAUAUUUACAAUCAGAUCGUACAGAAACAAGUUAAGUUCAACCAACCUGUUGUUGGUCCUUGGCCAAGGAGCCAAUAGAAAAGCCUGGCUCGUGGCGGGCGGAGUAGGUUAGCGGCGCGGUGGAGCUGAGGAUAAGGGUUACCAGGAUAAACAGGGUGGCAACCUUAAGCUUAACCAUUUUUCUUUUUUCUCUUUUUAAGUUUCCUGUAAGAGAGAAGGCAAGAAGGAUAUUGAUAAGAUAAUUGAGAACUUGAGAGACAAAAGGAUAGUGUGUAUUUAUAGAAGCGGAGUAAACUAAUGGUGCAUGUGAACUCAAGAAGCUGGGAUGGAUUUCAACUAUAGCAGCUCAUUAAUCAGCACAUAUAUAACAAGUUAACAAUAUAUAUGUAAAAUGAAAAAUUAACCAAAUAUAUAUUUAAAAAAGAUUAUUCCAGAAAAGAAAAGGUAGAAUUGAAGAUAGACCACAGGAAUAUAUGCCCAAAAAGAGGGUUUGAAAAUCAUGGGUCGGGGGUGGUAUCGCCACAGAUUUGUUUUGCUUUUGCAUGUUCCUUCAAUUCUUAUGGAAUGACUUCCUCAACUUGGCUUUCUCAUUUGUGUGCCUCUUGGCUCUUUGCCAUGAGAAAAACAAAUGGGUAUAGAUUCGUUUAUUGAUUUUUAAUUGA
rnacentral:misc_RNA from 1 species